GGGGCAUGGUGGAUAAGGGCGUCUACUUGUAGAGCCUGACCUCCACUUCUAACACUGUGCACUUGAUGGCGAGGUAAUGGAACUUUCGAGUGAAACUACCUUGCGGCUUCAUUUUAAACAUUAGUCAAAGUAUGUAAUGAAAUAUUAAAACAAAAAAAAACUUUCAACAACGGAUCUCUUGGCUCUCGCAUCGAUGAAGAACGCAGCGAAAUGUGAUAAGUAAUGUGAAUUGCAGAAUUCAGUGAAUCAUCGAAUCUUUGAACGCACCUUGCGCUCCCUGGUAUUCCGGGGAGCAUGCCUGUUUGAGUGUCAUGAACUCUUCAACCCACCAGUUUCUAGUAGACUGCGUUGGUGUUUGGAUUUUGAGCGUUGCUAGUCUGACUAGCUCGUUCGUAAUACAUUAGCAUCUCUAAUUCGAAUUCGGAUUGACUCAGUGUAAUAGACUAUUCGCUGAGGACACUUUUAUUAGUGGCCGUACUAGAACCAGUAGAAGCUUCCAACUAUUGUAGUCAACUUUAAUUUAGACCUCAGAUCAGGCAGGAUUACCCGCUGAACUUAAGCAUAUCAAA
rnacentral:rRNA from 1 species